rnacentral:rRNA from 1 species
UACCGCAUACGAUCUAUGGAUGAAAGCGGGGGAUCGCAAGACCUCGCGCGAUUGGAGCGGCCGAUAUCAGAUUAGGUAGUUGGUGAGGUAAAGGCUCACCAAGCCGACGAUCUGUAUCUGGGCUGAGAGGACGACCACCCACACUGGGACUGAGACACGGCCCAGACUCCUACGGGAGGGAGCAGUGGGGAAUUUUGUACAAUGGGCGCGAGCCUGAUCCACCAAUGCCGCGUGCAGGAUGAAGGCCUUCGGAUUGUAAACUGCUUUUGUACAGAGCGAAAAGGCUUCCACUAAUACUGGGGGCUCAUGACAUAACCGUAAGAAUAAGCACCGGCUAACUACGUGCCAGCAG